CUGGCGGCAGGCCUAACACAUGCAAGUCGAGCGCACUCUUCGGAGUGAGCGGCGGACGGGUUAGUAACGCGUGGGAACAUACCCUUUUCUACGGAAUAGCCUCGGGAAACUGAGAGUAAUACCGUAUACGCCCUUUUGGGGAAAGAUUUAUCGGUGAAGGAUUGGCCCGCGUUUGAUUAGAUAGUUGGUGGGGUAAUGGCCUACCAAGUCUACGAUCAAUAGCUGGUUUGAGAGGAUGAUCAGCAACACUGGGACUGAGACACGGCCCAGACUCCUACGGGAGGCAGCAGUGGGGAAUCUUAGACAAUGGGCGCAAGCCUGAUCUAGCCAUGCCGCGUGAGUGACGAAGGCCUUAGGGUCGUAAAGCUCUUUCGCCAGGGAUGAUAAUGACAGUACCUGGUAAAGAAACCCCGGCUAACUCCGUGCCAGCAGCCGCGGUAAUACGGAGGGGGUUAGCGUUGUUCGGAAUUACUGGGCGUAAAGCGUACGUAGGCGGAUUGGAAAGUAUGGGGUGAAAUCCCAGGGCUCAACCCUGGAACUGCCCUGUAAACUAUCAGUCUAGAGUUCGAGAGAGGUGAGUGGAAUUCCAAGUGUAGAGGUGAAAUUCGUAGAUAUUUGGAGGAACACCAGUGGCGAAGGCGGCUCACUGGCUCGAUACUGACGCUGAGGUACCAAAGUGUGGGGAGCAAACAGGAUUAGAUACCCUGGUAGU
rnacentral:rRNA from 1 species